AACCAACCUUAGCCUAAUAUUUACAAAUAACAACAAAUCCAAAAAUUCCUAAUCAAAUCAUUUACCACAGAUCAAUUAUAGUAUAGGUGAUAGAAAUUUUAUUCAGCGCUAUAGAGAAAGUACCGUAAGGGAAAAAUGAAAGAAAACCCUAAAGUACAAAAAAGCAAAGCUCACUCCUUGUACCUUUUGCAUAAUGACUUAACUAGAAUAAUUUGACAAAAAGAAUUUCAGUCAAGGACCCCGAAACCAGACGAGCUAUUCAUAAACAGCUUCACCCAGAGCACACUCAUCUAUGUAGCAAAAUAGUGAGAAGAUUUAUGAAUAGAGGUGAAAAGCCUACCGAGCCUGGUGAUAGCUGGUUAUCCAGAAAAGAAUUUUAGUUCAACUUUAAAUUAACCUAAAGUAAUAUAAAUAAACUACAUGUUAAUUUAAAUGUUAUUCUAAAGAGGGACAGCUCUUUAGACUAGGCUACAACCUUCAGUAUAGAGUAAAAAAUUAAAUUUCCAUAGUUGGCCUAAAAGCAGCCAUCAAUUAAGAAAGCGUUCAAGCUCAACACAAUAGCCCAUCUUAAUCCCACAACCCCACAACACCUCCUACUAACCCACUGGAUUAAUCUAUUUCCUAAUAGAAGAAAUACUGUUAAUAUAAGUAACAAGAAUUUUAUUCUCCUAGCACAAGCUUAUACCAGACCGGAUGCCCACUGGUAAUUAACAACAAGAUAAAACUAUACAUUUCAUACACAACUUAUCUCAUAUCCUAAAAACUGUUAACCCAACACAGGCGUGCACUUAAGGAAAGAUUUAAAAAAGUAAAAGGAACUCGGCAAACACUUACCCCGCCUGUUUACCAAAAACAUCACCUCCAGCCUAACCAGUAUUGGAGGCACUGCCUGCCCAGUGACACGUGUUCAACGGCCGCGGUAUCCUGACCGUGCAAAGGUAGCAUAAUCACUUGUUCUCUAAUUAAGGACUUGAAUGAAUGGCAACACGAGGGUUUAACUGUCUCUUACUUUCAAUCAGUGAAAUUGACCUUCCCGUGAAGAGGCGAGGAUAUUAUAAUAAGACGAGAAGACCCUAUGGAGCUUAAAUCAAACAAUCCAAACAAACUUACUUCCAAACCUAACAACUGGCAUAAUCACUUAAUAACACUGGAUUAAAGAUUUCGGUUGGGGUGACCUCGGAGCAUAACAAAACCUCCGAAUAACUUUUACCUAGACCUGACCAGUCAAAGUACAUUCACCAUCAAUUGACCCAAAACCAAUUUGAUCAACGGAACAAGUUACCCUAGGGAUAACAGCGCAAUCCUAUUACAGAGUCCAUAUCGACAAUAGGGUUUACGACCUCGAUGUUGGAUCAAGACACCCUAAUGGUGCAACCGCUAUUAACGGUCCGUUUGUUCAACGGUUAAAGUCUUACGUGAUCUGAGUUCAGACCGGAGUAAUCCAGGUCGGUUUCUAUCUAUUUAAUAUUUCUCCCAGUACGAAAGGACAAGAGAAAAGGAACCAACCCAAAACAGCGUUUCCAGCAUAACAAAUGCAAUCAACUCAAUUUAGCAUGCUACUACAUAUAUUUACCCAAGACCAGGGUUU
rnacentral:rRNA from 1 species